AUCUCGAUGUAAUUAAAUAUUCAUAGGUUGCGGAUGGGCAUGCGUGGCAUUAGUUAGUUGGCGGGGCAACGGCCCACCAAGACGAUGAUGCCUAUGGGUUCUAAAAGGAAGAUCCCACACAUCGGUACUGGGACACGGACCGAACUCCUACGGGAGGCAGCAGUGAGGAAUAUUGGACAAUGGGGGCAACCCUGAUCCAGCCAAACCGCGUGGGGGAAGGAGGCAGUUAAUGUCGUAAACCCCUUUUAUAUGGGAGCAAUCCCCGCCAUGGAUGGCGGGCUGAGAGUACCAUUUGAAUAAGCAUCGGCUAACUCCGUGCCAGCAGCCGCGGUAAUACGGAGGAUGCGGGCGUUAUCCGGAUUUAUUAGGUCUAAAGGGUGCGCAGGCGGCAUUCUAAGUCGGCGGUGAAAACCCGUGGCCCAACCACGGACGUGCCAUCGAUACUGGGGUGCUUGAGUGAGGGUGACGUAAUUGGAAUGAGUGGUGUAGCGGUGAAAUGCUUAGAUAUUACUCAGAACACCGAUUGCGAAGGCAGGUUACGAACCCUUUACUGACGCUCAUGCACGAAAGCGCGGGUAUCGAACAGGAUUAGAUACCCUGGUAGUCCGCGCGGUAAACGAUGAUCACUCGCUGUACGGGUAAAGACCCGUGUGGCCAAGCGAAAGCGAUAAGUGAUCCACCUGGGGAGUACGGCGGCAACGCUGAAACUCAAAGGAAUUGACGGGGGCCCGCACAAGCGGAGGAACAUGUGGUUUAAUUCGAUGAUACGCGAGGAACCUUACCCGGGCUCAAACGCGCGGUGAAGCCGACGAAAGUUGGUGGCCCAGCAAUGGGAGCCGUGCGAGGUGCUGCAUGGUUGUCGUCAGCUCGUGCCGGGAGGUGUUGGCUUAAGUGCCAUAACGAGCGCAACCCCUGUCCACAGUUGCCAGCGGUUCAAGCCGGGGACUCUGUGGAGACUGCCGCCGCAAGGUGCGAGGAAGGCGGGGAUGACGUCAAAUCAGCACGGCCCUUACGUCCGGGGCGACACA
rnacentral:rRNA from 1 species